CAGAGGUCUCGAGCGUUAGGCGGAAUCACUGGGCUUAAAGCGUGUGUAGGCGGAUUGGUAAGUACCUUGUGAAAUCCCACGGCUUAACCGUGGAACUGCUUGGUAUACUGCCUGUCUUGAGCCAGCUAGGGGCGACCGGAACAAAUGGUGGAGCGGUGAAAUGCGUAGAUAUCAUUUGGAACGCCAAUGGUGAAAACAGGUCGCUGGGGCUGUGCUGACGCUGAGACACGAAAGCCAGGGGAGCAAACGGGAUUAGAUACCCCGGUAGUCCUGGCCGUAAACGAUGUCGACUAGAUCGCAGUUCCUUCAACGGAAUUGCGGUCGAAGCAAAAGUGCUAAGUCGACCGCCUGGGAAGUACGGUCGCAAGGCUA
rnacentral:rRNA from 1 species